GGCGCAGGUGCAGCACCCCCUGCUGCAUUACCUCAGCGUCCACAGGCCUGUGCAGGUGAGGGGCCCGGAAGCCAAGGGGUGUCUGGGCAUGAGGCCCCCUCUCUCCCCUGCCACCCCUCUCCCCUCUGGUUCUGUCCUGGUGCUCUUCCAGAAACUCCUCCGACUUGGUGGGACUGCUUCCGGAUCCGUUACAGAAAAGGAGGAGGUGCAGUUCACCACCGUCCUCUGCUCCAAGAUCCAGCAGGACCCAGAGCUGCUCGCCUACAUCCUGGAAGGUAAAAAGAUUGUAGGUAGGAAGAAGGCAUGCGGAGAACCCACUGCCCUGCCUAAGGACACAACCAGCCACGGGGACAAGGACUGCUCCCACGAUGGUGCUCCUGCCAGGCCCCAGCUGGACGGGGAGUCCUUUGGGGCCCAGGCCUUGAACAGCCACAUGCCUGCUGAGACCGAGGAGCUGGACGGUGGGACCACAGAGAGCAACCUGAUUACCUCCCUGCUUGGGCUGUGCCAGAGCAAGAAGAGUCGGGUGGCCUUGAAGGCCCAGGAGAACCUGCUGCUCCUGGUGAGCAUGGCCUCCCCAGCAGCUGCCACCUACCUGGUACAGAGCAGCGCCUGCUGCCCUGCGAUCGUCCGGCACCUUUGCCAGCUGUACCGGUCCAUGCCUGUCUUCCUGGACCCCGCAGACAUUGCCGCCUUAGAGGGCAUCAGCUGGAGGUUACCCAGUGCCCCGUCUGAUGAGGCUUCCUUCCCUGGCAAGGAGGCCUUGGCUGCCUUCUUGGGCUGGUUUGAUUACUGCGACCACCUCAUCACAGAGGCACACACGGUGAGCAGGGGCGGGCGGAGGCCGGGCUCUCACGCUGUUCCCUGUACCAUCUCCAUCUCGAGGACCAA
rnacentral:sRNA from 1 species